rnacentral:lncRNA from 1 species
UGUCAGGCACAUAUGUUAACUUUCACUUUCCUCUGCAUUUCUUUAAGCACUCAGUCAUAGUCAUGUAUUUUAAGUACAUUAAAAUAGAUACCACCUCAGAUAGAGAUGGUUGGUAUCAUUUUUCUUCACUCCAUCCUAGCACUUGUGCUUGAGAAAUGUAAUUUCUAUUUUUUCCCCUAGUAUAAUUCCACCUGUCUUUUAUUGUUCUUUCAUUACAUAAAAGGAAAACCCUAACAGCACAUUUUUUGAGAACGGUUUCACUCCAAGUUUUCAAAAAUAAGCUCUCUUAAAGCUACUGUUUUAAAAUAGUCCUCGUUACCUGCUACAACAUAGAAGAUGGUUGUAUUUAGUUAGAUGUGUUUAGAGAGCCGACGUCCUCUG